CGGCGUUGAGGAGUGGCAGUCCGGCUCAUUUGUGUCCCCGGGAUCAGGAUGGACUUCCCCAGCACCCUGCGUCCUUCGUUGUUUAUGGCCGGUCCUCUUGGCAUGACUGAUGGCCCCGACUUGUCCUUCAUGUGCAGCUGGAGAGAUGCACUGACCCUGCCAGGGGCCCAGCCACAGAACUGCAGGGACCAGACAUCGUCCUUUGCCAAGAACCUGCUGUGGGAGCCAUCGACACCAGGACCCCUGCCCCUGGUGCCUCCUGGCCCUGGUAAGAGUCUCUCUCCUUCUGGGCUCCCUCCAAGGACCUUAGCCAUCGCAUGGACAAGGGGAUCCCAGAUUGCAGAUACCUCCCUAUUCCCUCUCAGGUUCUUCUCUGACUUCCUUCUCCCCUUAGAUCCCUGGGACCCUGGUCUGGCAGCUCAGGACUUCCUCUUCCGGGGAGGUCACUACUACCAGUACCAGUCUCGAGUUGUGCUGGAUGUCACUGAGCAGGUAAACGGUCUCUGGGUGGGACUGUUUCUCACAGCCUGAGCUAUGCUGACUCACACAGCCAUUCCCCACAGCUCAGCCGCUUCCUGUGGGACCAUGGGGAUAUAGCCUUUGCACCCCUGGGGAAACUCAUGCUGGAGAACUUCAGAU
rnacentral:lncRNA from 1 species